rnacentral:rRNA from 1 species
UACGGGGGGAGCAAGCGUUGUUCGGAUUUACUGGGCGUAAAGGGCGGGUAGGCGGCCACCGCAAGUCAGUUGUGAAAUCUCUGGGCUUAACCCAGAAAGGUCAACUGAUACUGCGGGGCUAGAGUGCAGAAGGGGCAACUGGAAUUCUCGGUGUAGCGGUGAAAUGCGUAGAUAUCGAGAGGAACACCUGCGGCGAAGGCGGGUCUCUGGGCCGAUACUGACGCUGAGGAGCGAAAGCGUGGGGAGCGAACAGG